AUGGCUCAGGACGAACGCUGGCGGCGUGCUUAACACAUGCAAGUUGAACGGUAUGACAUGGAAGCUUGCUGAAGUGUCAUAUAGUAGCGGACGGGUGAGUAAUGCAUGAGAAGCUGCCAUUGGGAGGGGGACAACAGUUGGAAACGGCUGCUAAUACCCCGUAUGCCGGAGGGUGAAAGGGAGUAAUCCGCCCGAUGAGGUGCUCAUGUCCUAUCAGCUGGUUGGUGGGGUAACGGCCUACCAAGGCGACGACGGGUAGCCGGCCUGAGAGGGUGAACGGCCACACUGGAACUGAGAUACGGUCCAGACUCCUACGGGAGGCAGCAGUGGGGAAUAUUGGGCAAAUGGGGGCAACCCUGACCCAGCGACGCCGCGUGGGGGAAGACGGCCUUCGGGUUGUAAACCCCUUUUGUACGGGAAGAAGGAAGUGACGGUACUGUACGAAUAAGUCCCGGCUAACUACGUGCCAGCAGCAGC
rnacentral:rRNA from 1 species